rnacentral:rRNA from 1 species
UCAAGGUUGUGCCCUUGGAGGCGUGGCUUCCGGAGCUAACGCGUUAAGUCGACCGCCUGGGGAGUACGGCCGCAAGGUUAAAACUCAAAUGAAUUGACGGGGGCCCGCACAAGCGGUGGAGCAUGUGGUUUAAUUCGAUGCAACGCGAAGAACCUUACCUACUCUUGACAUCCACGGAAUUUAGCAGAGAUGCUUUGGUGCCUUCGGGAACCGUGAGACAGGUGCUGCAUGGCUGUCGUCAGCUCGUGUUGUGAAAUGUUGGGUUAAGUCCCGCAACGAGCGCAACCCUUAUCCUUUGUUGCCAGCGGUUCGGCCGGGAACUCAAAGGAGACUGCCAGUGAUAAACUGGAGGAAGGUGGGGAUGACGUCAAGUCAUCAUGGCCCUUACGAGUAGGGCUACACACGUGCUACAAUGGCAUAUACAAAGAGAAGCGACCUCGCGAGAGCAAGCGGACCUCAUAAAGUAUGUCGUAGUCCGGAUUGGAGUCUGCAACUCGACUCCAUGAAGUCGGAAUCGCUAGUAAUCGUGGAUCAGAAUGCCACGGUGAAUACGUUCCCGGGCCUUGUACACACCGCCCGUCACACCAUGGGAGUGGGUUGCAAAAGAAGUAGGUAACUUAACCUUCAGGAGGGCGCUUACCACUUUGUGAUUCAUGACUGGGGUGAAGUCGUAACAGGGUAACCGGA